AUUUAUACUCCUAAGGCCAGUUGUUUUAGUGUUCACCUAAGAGUAGUGCUGUGUUGUAUCUCAGGAUCCUGUAAUAAAAUUCUCCAGGUGAUCUAAUUUACUCAACAAGAAUAAAUACAUUACCUUUCUCUAGGACAUUGAAAUUUACAGGUUUUUUCUAAAGAAUGUGUACCUAUGUUAAAUUUUAUAUUCUAUUUUUUCA
rnacentral:misc_RNA from 1 species